rnacentral:rRNA from 1 species
GGCCUGUUGAUAAUAAUUUUAGGUCGGACCUGCCCMAUGAUUUUUGAAUGGCCGCGGUAAUUUGACCGUGCAAAGGUAGCAUAAUCAUUAGUCUCUUAAUUGGAAGCUUGUAUGAAAGGUUUGAUGAAAGAGUAGCUGUCUCUAUUUAAUUUUUUUAGAAUUUUAUUUUUAAGUAAAAAAGCUUAGAUGUGUAUAAAAGACGAGAAGACCCUUUAGAGUUUUAUAAUAAUAAAAAUAAUUUUGGUUUAAGGAUUGAGAAAUUUAUUUUUAGAAUUAUUUGGUUGGGGUGAUUGAAAAAUUUAGUGAACUUUUUUUUGAAUUUAAACAUUGAUUGAUGAGAGUCUGAUCCUUGAGUUUAAGAUUAUAAGAUAAAAUUACCUAAGGGAUAACAGCGUAAUUUUUUUUAGAGUUCUGAUUGAAAAAAAAGAUUGCGACCUCGAUGUUGGAUUAAAGGAAAUUAUUGGUGUAGAAGCUAAUAAAUUAGGUCUGUUCGACCUUUAAAACUUUACAUGAUCUGAGUUUAAACCGGUGUGAG